AAGAAAGUAAGCCUGCCCGUCCUGAUCACCUCACUUUAUUUGUGCAUUACAUUACAUUAUCCAACACACACACACACACAUACCCCAAUCUUUUAUCAUAUCAUUUCCAUCUUUAUUUGUGCAUGCACGUCACAUGACAUUACUUACUUUAUUUGUGCACGUACUAGUAGUAGCUCGUGCAUGAAUCCAGUGAAGUGAUCAGUGAUCAAAGUGAAAAUGGAUCAAGGUCUGGUUAAUUACCAGCCGUCCAUCACAGAACCUGAUCCAGGAGACCAGGCUCAUUACCAGCCGUCCAUCCGGUCUUCUUGUCCCAGUACCUGUUCCAGACCAUGAUGCCCCCAUAGUUGGGCAGCUUGUUGAUGAACUGCAGCACGUC
rnacentral:lncRNA from 1 species